ncrna:unclassified sequences type-P1 twister ribozyme
GCCUUAAUGCGGCUUCCGGUAACGGAAACGGUUGCAAGCCCGUGCGAACGCAGAGCAGGGA